AGAGUUUGAUCCUGGCUCAGGACGAACGCUGGCGGCGUGCCUAAUACAUGCAAGUCGAGCGAGGAACUUCGGUUCCUAGCGGCGGACGGGUGAGUAACACGUAGGCAACCUGCCUGUAAGAUCGGGAUAACAUAGGGAAACUUAUGCUAAUACCGGAUAGUGCAUUUGCUCGCAUGAGUGGAUGCGGAAAGAUGGCGUAA
rnacentral:rRNA from 1 species